rnacentral:rRNA from 1 species
UUGGGGAAUCUUGCGCAAUGGGCGAAAGCCUGACGCAGCCAUGCCGCGUGAAUGAUGAAGGUCUUAGGAUUGUAAAAUUCUUUCACCGGGGACGAUAAUGACGGUACCCGGAGAAGAAGCCCCGGCUAACUUCGUGCCAGCAGCCGCGGUAAUACGAAGGGGGCUAGCGUUGCUCGGAAUUACUGGGCGUAAAGGGCGCGUAGGCGGACAGUUUAGUCAGAGGUGAAAGCCCAGGGCUCAACCUUGGAAUUGCCUUUGAUACUGGCUGUCUUGAGUACGGGAGAGGUGAGUGGAACUCCGAGUGUAGAGGUGAAAUUCGUAGAUAUUCGGAAGAACACCAGUGGCGAAGGCGACUCACUGGCCCGUUACUGACGCUGAGGCGCGAAAGCGUGGGGAGCAAACAGGAUUAGAUACCCUGGUAGUCC